AUUGAACGCUGGCGGCAGGCCUAACACAUGCAAGUCGAGCGAGCGGCGGACGGGUGAGUAAUGUAUGGGGAUCUGCCCGAUAGAGGGGGAUAACUACUGGAAACGGUGGCUAAUACCGCAUACUAUCGGAUGAACCCAUAUGGGAUUAGCUAGUUGGUGAGGUAAUGGCUCACCAAGGCGACGAUCCCUAGCUGGUCUGAGAGGAUGACCAGACACACUGGGACUGAGACACGGCCCAGACUCCUACGGGAGGCAGCAGUGGGGAAUAUUGCACAAUGGGCGCAAGCCUGAUGCAGCCAUGCCGAGUGUAUGAAGAAGGCCCGAGGGUUGUAAAGUACUUUCAGUGGGGAGGCGUUACGCGCAGAAGAAGCACCGGCUAACUCCGUGCCAGCAGCCGCGGUAAUAC
rnacentral:rRNA from 1 species